rnacentral:rRNA from 1 species
CAGUCGAACGAGCGAGAGAGAGCUUGCUUUCUCGAGCGAGUGGCGAACGGGUGAGUAUCGCGUGAGGAACCUGCCUCAAAGAGGGGGACAACAGUUGGAAACGACUGCUAAUACCGCAUAAGCCCACGGUGCUGCAUGGCACAGAGGGAAAAGGAGCAAUCCGCUUUGAGAUGGCCUCGCGUCCGAUUAGCUAGUUGGUGAGGUAACGGCCCACCAAGGCGACGAUCGGUAGCCGGACUGAGAGGUUGAACGGCCACAUUGGGACUGAGACACGGCCCAGACUCCUACGGGAGGCAGCAGUGGGGAAUAUUGCACAAUGGGGGAAACCCUGAUGCAGCGACGCCGCGUGGAGGAAGAAGGUCUUCGGAUUGUAAACUCCUGUUGUUGGGGAAGAUAAUGACGGUACCCAACAAGGAAGUGACGGCUAACUACGUGCCAGCAGCCGCGGUAAAACGUAGGUCACAAGCGUUGUCCGGAAUUACUGGGUGUAAAGGGAGCGCAGGCGGGAAGACAAGUUGGAAGUGAAAUCUAUGGGCUCAACCCAUAAACUGCUUUCAAAACUGUUUUUCUUGAGUAGUGCAGAGGUAGGCGGAAUUCCCGGUGUAGCGGUGGAAUGCGUAGAUAUCGGGAGGAACACCAGUGGCGAAGGCGGCCUACUGGGCACCAACUGACGCUGAGGCUCGAAAGUGUGGGUAGCAAACAGGAUUAGAUACCCUGGUAGUCCACACCGUANACGAUGAUUACUAGGUGUUGGAGGNUUGACCCCUUCAGUGCCGCAGUUAACAC